UUUUGAUUAUGAUGCUAUCAGAUGAUGAAGUAUACCAGUGGUUCAGAAUGCAUGGUCCCCUGGCGACGACAAAUUCAUGCAACACAGAGGGGUGUCAAGGGAGAAUGGUUCUGAAAUCAUCAUCAAGAGGCGCAGGUGGAUGUACGGUGAAUCGCCUACACACCAGGGCUUGUAGAGACAACUCCAUCUUCGAAAAAAAGCAACUUGACAUUUCAAGACAUCACCCUGUUCAUAAAGAAUUACUUGGAUGGUUCUUCUCUCAGUCAAUGUGCCAGAUUUUCAGGGGUUGCCUACAAAUCUAUAGAUGUUAACAGGGGAUCAUUAUCAGGGAACUCCAAGAAAAUAUUUGAACUACACAUUAAGACCAUGAGGCUUACUGGGACAGUAGAGAUCAACGAGUCCCUAUUUUGGAGACGCGUAAAACACCAAGAAGUGACCCUAAUCGAGGUUAAAAGGUAACUUAAAACAAAUGUUAUUGUUUUAAACUCUAUGUUAAUAUAAAAAAAACUUGUCUUAGUACACAUACUUAAAUGCAACUUGGAACAAAAAAAUGUGUUAAAAGAAUUGGUAUUUAAAGUACGAAACUAUGUACAUGACAGUAUAAUAACAAUAAAUGACAGUAAAUAUGCAUAGAUUUAAGAAUUAAUACAGUAAAAUUCUUUUCACACAUAUAUGGAUAUUUGGAAUGGUGGAGAGAGAGCAACACGCUUAUAUUGUAUCCAGUUGGAGAUCGCACAGAGGAUACACUCCUUCGAAUAAUACGAAGACAUGUGGAAGUUGGAAGCACCAUAUACAGCGAUGGAUGGUUAUCUUAAUUUUCUAGACAUAGGGUAUGAACAUUUCACAGUUACACCCAAGUACACUUUCAAGAAAACAUACAUUAACAUGAAGACACGUCAGAAGGAAGAAGUACAUAUACACGUAAAUAUCGAGGGAGCAUGGAAACAUGCGAAGGGCCAUUUCAAGAGGAUGUCUAAAACAAAGAUCAACCAUUUUGAGGGACACCUUGCAGAGAUAAUGUGGAGGUCAGCAGUGAAGUGGGACGUCUAUACAUCAUUCUUCGACCUUGUUAAGUCUGUUUACCCCUAGACAAGCCUUCGACAUACAAGUACAUGACCCCACACUUCGGCCUGCCUUCCAGACUCCCAGUUAUCUGACUGGGAUAUUACACCAGGAAACACUGUUGGGAAAUCCUAAUCAGAUGUAGACCGCCUGAGCGAUGGAAGCCGUUUCAAUUGUCUGAGCGAUGGAGGCACUUCUAUUGGUUGCAAAAUCAUUUUAGACAGUGAGGACUUUGAAUUUCCCAGAAACCAAAUAGCCAGUGACAACUUUUUGCGCAUUGGCAAGGAACAGCACCUGCAGGCACGCAGUCUUGAUAGUGUUUACAGACUGUUAAUGGAGUGGGAUCCAGACAAACUCUUCACUUACAGGAGUUUUUAGCAAUCACCAUAGGUACAUGCAUUUCAAGUGAUCAUUGUGAAGUCAAAUGACAAAUGGACAGGAAGGAUAAACCACAGCUUCAGGUCAGGCCCUUCCCAUCCAAAAUUCGUUCUUCUUUCAAGGAAAAAAGGUUCCUCUAGCCAACACGAUCCUCUUACAGAGAAGAAAAGGAAACCUUUCACAUCAUCUGAUAAAGGUUCUAUCCAAAGGAGGAGGAUCUCCGGAAUGACGGUGUGUGUUAUCCUCCGUUAUACGUAGAGAAGAACGUCGUUCCUGCCUCCAG